rnacentral:rRNA from 1 species
AAAGGAAUUGACGGGGGCCCGCACAAGCGGAGGAACAUGUGGUUUAAUUCGAUGAUACGCGAGGAACCUUACCCGGGCUUGAAAGUUAUUGACGAUUCUGGAAACAGGAUUUCCCUUCGGGGCAAGAAACUAGGUGCUGCAUGGUUGUCGUCAGCUCGUGCCGUGAGGUGUCGGGUUAAGUCCCAUAACGAGCGCAACCCUUGCUGUUAGUUGCCAUCAGGUUAAGCUGGGCACUCUAACGGGACUGCCUCUGUAAGGAGGAGGAAGGUGAGGAUGACGUCAAAUCAGCACGGCCCUUACGUCCGGGGCGACACACGUGUUACAAUGGUAGGUACAGAGGGCAGCCACCCAGUGAUGGGGAGCAAAUCUCGAAAGCCUAUCUCAGUUCGGAUUGGAGGCUGAAACUCGCCUCCAUGAAGUUGGAUUCGCUAGUAAUCGCGCAUCAGCCAUGGCGCGGUGAAUACGUUCCCGGGCCUUGUACACACCGCCCGU